rnacentral:rRNA from 1 species
UACAGAGGUCUCAACCGUUGUUCGGAUUCAUUGGGCGUAAAGGGUGCGUAGGCGGUCGUGCAAGUCGGAUGUGAAAUCUCAGGGCUCAACCCUGAAACUGCAUUCGAUACUGCGGUGCUUGAGGACUGGAGAGGAGACUGGAAUUCAUGGUGUAGCAGUGAAAUGCGUAGAGAUCAUGAGGAAGACCAGUGGCGAAGGCGGGUCUCUGGACAGUUCCUGACACUGAGGCAACGAAGGCCCAGGGGGAGCAAACGGGG